GAUGAACGCUGGCGGCGUGCCUAACACAUGCAAGUCGAGCGAAUUGUAUCCUUCGGGGUGCAGUUAGCGGCGGACGGGUGAGUAACGCGUGGGUAAUCUGCCUUUUACUGGGGAAUAACUGUGAGAAAUCACAGCUAAAGCCGCAUACGGUCCUUGAAUCGCAUGGUUUAAGGAAGAAAGAUUUAUCGGUAAAAGAGGAGUCCGCUUCCGAUUAGCUAGCUGGUGAGGUAACGGCCCACCAAGGCGACGCUCGGUAGCCGACCUGAGAGGGUGACCGGCAACAUUGGGAGUGAGAAACGGCCCAAACUCCUACGGGAGGCAGCAGUGGGGAAUAUUGCACAAUGGGCGAAAGCCUGAUGCAGCAACGGCGCGUGAAGGAUGAAGGGUUUCGGCUCGUAAACUUCUUUAGGCAGGGAAGAACGCAAUGACGGUACCUGCAGAAUAAGCCCCGGCUAACUACGUGCCAGCCGCCGC
rnacentral:rRNA from 1 species